rnacentral:rRNA from 1 species
UACAGAGGGUGCGAGCGUUGUUCGGAAUUAUUGGGCGUAAAGCGCUUGUAGGUGGCCCUGAAAGUCGCGUGUGAAAGCCCCAGGCUCAACCUGGGAAGUGCGCGCGAAACUGCAGGGCUUGAGUGCCGGAGAGGGUGGCGGAAUUCCCGGUGUAGAGGUGAAAUUCGUAGAUAUCGGGAGGAACACCAGAGGCGAAGGCGGCCACCUGGAAGGCAACUGACACUGAGAAGCGAAAGCGUGGGGAGCAAACAGG